rnacentral:rRNA from 1 species
UGAGGAAUAUUGGUCAAUGGGCGCAAGCCUGAACCAGCCAUGCCGCGUGUAGGAAGACUGCCCUAUGGGUUGUAAACUACUUUUAUAUGGGAAGAAACCCCUCUACGUGUAGAGGCUUGACGGUACCAUAAGAAUAAGCACCGGCUAACUCCGUGCCAGCAGCCGCGGUAAUACGGAGGGUGCAAGCGUUAUCCGGAAUCAUUGGGUUUAAAGGGUCCGCAGGCGGUUAAUUAAGUCAGAGGUGAAAUCCUACAGCUUAACUGUAGAACUGCCUUUGAUACUGGUUGACUUGAGUUAUACGGAAGUAGGUAGAAUAAGUAGUGUAGCGGUGAAAUGCAUAGAUAUUACUUAGAAUACCGAUUGCGAAGGCAGCCUACUACGUGUAUACUGACGCUCAUGGACGAAAGCGUGGGGAGCGAACAGG